rnacentral:rRNA from 1 species
GAGUGACCCUGCGCCGAAAAUUCAACGGGGCUAAAUUAUACACCGAAGCUUGGGAUACCGCAAGGUAUGGUAGGAGAGCGUUCUGUAAGGAGUGAAGUGAGAGCGAAAGCGUUCGUGGACUUUACAGAAGUGAGAAUGCCGGAAUGAGUAGCGAGAAAUAUGUGAGAAUCAUAUUGGCCGAAAGUCUAAGGUUUUUGGAGGAAGGUUCGUCCGCUCCAAGUAAGUCGGGAGCUAAGGUGAGGCCUAACGGCGUAGCCGAUGCACAUACGGUAGAUAUUCCGUAACCACCGAAAGAUUUAAACACAGGGACACCUUGAAAGGGCAUAUCCCGGGAGUUGGUUUACCCGGGCGUAAGGGAUCGAAAUUUGAGUAGAGAAGUAUGUUUGGACGAGGGCGAGAAAAGCUGUGCGUAUAUUUUAGGUGCCCGUACCGCAAACCGACACAGGUGGACAGGAAGAGGAUUCUAAGGCCAACGGGAGAAGGGUAAUUAAGGAACUCGGCAAAUUGACCCCGUAACUUAGGGAUAAGGGGUGCUCAUAGAAAUAUGAGCCGCAGAGAAUAGGCCCAGGCAACUGUUUAUCAAAAACACAGGUCUCUGCCAAAUCGAAAGAUGAAGUAUAGGGGCUGACACCUGCCCGGUGCUGGAAGGUUAAGAGGAGGAGUGAGAGCUCCGAAUUGAAGCCCCAGUAAACGGCGGCCGUAACUAUAACGGUCCUAAGGUAGCGAAAUUCCUUGUCGGGUAAGUUCCGACCCGCACGAAUGGUGUAAUGAUCUGGGCACUGUCUCAAUUACCCGCCCGGCGAAAUUGUAGUACCGGUGAAGAUGCCGGUUACCCGCGACAAGACGGAAAGACCCCAUGGAGCUUUACUGCAGCUUGAUAUUGGGUUUCGGUAAUCUAUGUACAGGAUAGGCGGGAGACUAGGAAGUAAAGGCGCCAGCUUUUACGGAGUCGCCCUUGGGAUACCGCUCUUAGAUUGCUGGAAUUCUAACCUGCGGCCAUGAAACUGGUCGGGGAACAUUGUCAGGCGGGCAGUUUGACUGGGGCGGUCGCCUCCUAAAGAGUAACGGAGGCGCUCAAAGGUUGGCUCAGCACGGACGGAAACCGUGCCUCUGAGUGUAAACGCACAAGCCAGCCUAACUGCGAGGAUGACGGUCCGAGCAGUAACGAAAGUUGGAGUUAGUGAUCCGG